rnacentral:misc_RNA from 1 species
GUGUGAACAAUUUGCUACUACCUAAGAAAUUUAGAAGUGACACAAGUUAAAAACAAAAGUGUCAAAUCAUGUACAAAAUAAAAGUAAGAAAGCAGCCACCGUCAAAGAAAUGGUCCAUUUUGAUGCUCUACUUUGUAGACCAAUCCCCUUGUUAGAAGAAUUUUCAGACUCCAACAGAGAACUGAUUUUGAAAUUAGGGUUUGUCCCAUAAAGGGCCUGGACGCCCUCCGCGUCGUCAAUCUUGAGGUCCACUUUCACAGUUCUGGGACUUAAACUUGGAUACAUCACAGCUUCUUUCAGCGAAGAAUGAGCCAACCCAAGUACAUGUCCAAUCUCAUGGGUGGCCACCGAUUCCAAAUCAACGGCCACCCUUGACUUAACCGUCUCGAAAUCAACGCUCCACGUUUCAGCUGCAUCAAGAUGAAGCAUCCCGUUCUCUGGAGAGAAACCAUGCGCCAGUACCCCAAGCACUCCAUCGAACGGCUCUCCGUCCCCGUGAUCUCGGUGGUACCACCCGAUUCGAAUAUUCGCUGAUUGGUAAUCUUCCACUUCCGUGAAGUCAACUGGAAUAACUAAUGCCCAUCUUGAAAAAGCUCGCUUAAAAACCCUCUUUAUAUCCUCUAAACUUAUGUAAUCAAUAGUGUUAUUAGCUGAAAAGGCAUACGUUAGCGUCAUCGGUGACUCCUUUACCCACCUGGGCUUCCCGUAAAAAUACGCGAAAUGUCGGGUUACAUGCAAUUUAUCGCUUGUGUGAUCAUGGGCUGUGUCGCUAACACCGCAUCUUGGUGACAUGAUUGUUGAGAUGGUAUUCGAGUCAAGCUUCCCCGUCACAGCUAAACCCAGACUGGAUUGAUAGGCUUUAACUGCGGAUUCUAAUUCGGUAUCAAAUAUAUCGGUGAAAUUGUUGGUGCUGGGGAGGUACCCGAAACGGUACAGAUAUUUCUUGAGCUCUGACAUACCACUGACCUGACUGCCCUUCCCGGCGUCUAGGAAGCGACCGAAAUCAUGCCAGGUGACGUUGUGAUUGUCGGUGGCGUUGUGGGGAUCGGUGGUUAUGCCGGUUAUAGAGUCCGGUAUAAAUCUGGCGGGAAAGGAAGGGCGGGAAAGGCAGAGGAAGGAGAAGUAGAGGAAACUGAAAUAACUGAAAAACCGAAACAUAGCUCUGUUUUGUAGUGGUAGUUAUUUUGCGAUUUGAGCCCAGCGACAUAAAUUCAGGGGGCCGAAAGCAGAGGAUUUUUUUGCGGAGUUUGGAUUGACAAAAAUUGACAAUUAAAGCUGUGGAUUUUAUAAUCAAACAGUAAUUGA